AUUGAACGCUGGCGGCAGGCCUAACACAUGCAAGUCGAGCGAGCGGCGGACGGGGGAGUAAUGUAUGGGGACUGCCCGAUAGAGGGGGAUAACUACUGGAAAUGGUGGCUAAUACCGCAUAUUGUCGGAUAAUUCAUACGGGAUUAGCUAGUAGGUAAGGUAAUGGCUUACCUAGGCGACGAUCCCUAGCCUGUCUUAGAGGAUGAUGAGCCACACUGGGACGAAGACCCGGCCCGUACUCCUACGGAGGCACCAGUGGGGAAUAUUGCACAAUGGGCGCAAGCCUGAUGCAGCCAUGCCGCGUGUAUGACGAAGGCCCUAGGGUUGUAAGGUACUUUCAGUCGGGAGGCGUUACCGACAGAAGAAGCACCGGCUAACUCCGUGCCAGCAGCCGCGGUAAUAC
rnacentral:rRNA from 1 species